ensembl:miRNA
GGAGCAGUGCUGAGAGGGCUUGGGGAGAGGAUUGUAGUGGAGCUCCAUCCCCAUUCCACUCCUAGCAGCUCU